rnacentral:rRNA from 1 species
GGAUCCCACGCUGUAGACUAGUUGUGGGGACCAUUCCACGGUUUCCGUGACGCAGCUAACGCAUUAAGUUCCCCGCCUGGGGAGUACGGCCGCAAGGCUAAAACUCAAAGGAAUUGACGGGGACCCGCACAAGCGGCGGAGCAUGCGGAUUAAUUCGAUGCAACGCGAAGAACCUUACCAAGGCUUGACAUAUACGAGAACGGGCCAGAAAUGGUCAACUCUUUGGACACUCGUAAACAGGUGGUGCAUGGUUGUCGUCAGCUCGUGUCGUGAGAUGUUGGGUUAAGUCCCGCAACGAGCGCAACCCUCGUUCUAUGUUGCCAGCACGUAAUGGUGGGAACUCAUGGGAUACUGCCGGGGUCAACUCGGAGGAAGGUGGGGAUGACGUCAAAUCAUCAUGCCCCUUAUGUCUUGGGCUUCACGCAUGCUACAAUGGCCGGUACAAAGGGCUGCAAUACCGUGAGGUGGAGCGAAUCCCAAAAAGCCGGUCCCAGUUCGGAUUGAGGUCUGCAACUCGACCUCAUGAAGUCGGAGUCGCUAGUAAUCGCAGAUCAGCAACGCUGCGGUGAAUACGUUCCCGGGUCUUGUACACACCGCCCGUCAAGUCAUGAAAGUCGGUAACACCUGAAGCCGGUGGCCCAACCCUUGUGGAGGGAGCCGUCGAAGGUGGGAUCGGUAAUUAGGACUAAGUCGUAAAAAGGUAGCCGUACCGGAAGGUGC